GAUUGCAGGCUGCAACUCGCCUGCAUGAAGUCGGAAUUGCUAGUAAUCGUAGGUCAGCAUACUACGGUGAAUACGUUCCCGGGCCUUGUACACACCGCCCGUCAAACCAUGAGAGUUGGCAACCACCCGAAGUCGGUAGUCUAACCGCAAGGAGGACGCCGCCGAAGGUGGGGGUUGAUGAUUAGGGUUAAGUCGUAACAAGGUAAC
rnacentral:rRNA from 1 species